AUGCAAGUCGAACGAUUAAAGCUCUCUUCGGAGAGUGCAUAGAGUGGCGCACGGGUGAGUAACACGUAAGUAAUCUACCCUCGAGUGGGGAAUAACAUCGGGAAACCGAUGCUAAUACCGCAUAAUGCAGCGGCACCGCAAGGUGACAGUUGUUAAAGAUUUAUCGCUUGAGGAGGAGCUUGCGGCAGAUUAGCUAGUUGGUAAGGUAAUGGCUUACCAAGGCUACGAUCUGUAACCGGUCUAAGAGGACGGUCGGUCACACUGACACUGAAUAACGGGUCAGACUCCUACGGGAGGCAGCAGUCGGGAAUUUUGGGCAAUGGGCGAAAGCCUGACCCAGCAACGCCGCGUGAAGGAUGAAGUAUUUCGGUAUGUAAACUUCGAAAGAAUAGGAAGAAUAAAUGACGGUACUAUUUAUAAGGUCCGGCUAACUACGUGCCAGCAGCCGCGGUAAUACGUAGGGACCAAGCGUUGUUCGGAUUUACUGGGCGUAAAGGGCGCGUAGGCGGCGUGACAAGUCACUUGUGAAAUCUCUGAGCUUAACUCAGAACGGCCAAGUGAAACUGUUGUGCUAGAGUGCAGAAGGGGCAAUCGGAAUUCUUGGUGUAGCGGUGAAAUGCGUAGAUAUCAAGAGGAACACCUGAGGUGAAGACG
rnacentral:rRNA from 1 species